CCGAGGCGCAGUUAAGUUCAGACCGCGACAGUUUUCGGUUCGGGCCAUUCAGUCUAAUGUCAGAAACGCAGUUAGCUGCCUCGUCGUGCGCACGCUAAAAUAUAAAUAAAAACAAUCUAAAGGCACAGCUAAUACAACUAUCACUCCAACAACAACAACAAGAAUAGCUAAAACAGCAACAACCAUCGUCGACAGUUAAAACUUGAGGCAUUAUAAAUCAAAUGCAGCUGAAAAGUAAAACACCUAUAGCAAUAGCAACAACAGUAAAAACCAGUUUAAAGUGACGGGCAACAGCCGAAUCAACCCCCCCAAAGCAAAAGUAAUAAAAACUAUUUCAAAAGUUGCGUGACAAAAAAUACAAAAUUAUAAAUGAAAUAAAAACAAAAAUCGAUCUGCAUAAUAAGUGAAUUGUAAACCGAUUGACGGAAAUUGGAAACCCGAAUCAAAAGUGCGAAAAUCAACAGAAAAAAGGUUGUCAAAAACCGGAUCUCUAUAAGGAUCGAACCAAGCACCACCGUAGCGACAGACACCGAUAUAGAAAGUGAAAGAGACAGACACACGGAGAGAGAGCGGAGAGAGAGAUACUAUAAAAAUGCUGGGGGCUGAGCUGCAAUGAUAUCAGCGGCUCUCUAUGAGAAGCGGCUCAGUUAACGGUUAUCAGCAGAGGCGAGAGGCAGCAUCGGGGGGCGGGCACCCACUUGACAGAGCCGUCGACCCAUUACAUAAUGUUUUAUGGCGACGACGUGACGAUAAAAGCGAAAACCAACACAAAACUAACAACAACAAGUUGAGUCUCGUUUGUCACUGUUACUGCAUUUCUGUUUCUGUUUCUGUUUCUGGGAAGUGCAAAAUGUUGCCGCAACUUGAAAUUGUCGUGCGAUACUUUUAACCCAUAAUUCUGAGCGGCUUAGGAAUGAAACAGCAUGAAAGGCUUAACAAAGGAGAACAAGAAAAAUCUUUAUGCACUUGAGAGAAAAUAUUAUAAUGAUAGCGCGUACUUAAGGAACAACUUUAAUACUUAAAGAGAUCAAAGAUGAUGCGACAUGAAUAGCCGAGAUCAAAAGUAUUUGGGAAGGCCU
rnacentral:sRNA from 1 species